AUGGAGGUUCUUGUUAUUCUUGCUUAUCUAGAAAUUUGCGUAGUGGUACUGGCUCUUCUGUCAAAUACGUUAUUCAGUUUUAUAAUUUAUCAAGCUUCUAGUCUUCAUUUCAAUUGCAGAAAUUUGCUAAUUUUGUUUUCUGUAUCUAUUUAUCUAUUGGAUAUUUCACAUGGCUUAACUGUUUUCGAGUUUUUAUUCGAAAAGCAAACUUAUUAUCACAUUUAUUUUGUUUCUGUAAGAGGAAUCACAUGGAGAUUCCUUCACGAGUUCGGUUAUUCCCUACAAUCCCUUUCAUUAUUCUUAUUUUCAAUUGAAAGACUCAUUGCAAGUCUAUGUCCAACUGCCUACAGAUCAUUUAAAAUAAGAAUAUGGUUUAUAUUCAGCUUGUUAGGGUCUAUUAUCAUUUCAAUAGGAUUUUCAUACACGGUGCAUAUGGGUCAAGAUAUGUUUUCUCCCACAGUCGCAAUGACUUUGGUGGAUAUUUCAAGUUGUAUUUUUCUCAUCAUUGCCUGGCAAAAAUCAUUGAGCCAUUACCGUUCCACUGUUGGUGUAUUAACCCUUAAUCAAAGAUUUCAACUAUCUGAUGUUUAUACAUGGUCCCGACAUCUUAUUCCUGCUGUUCUUCUAGCUAGCCUUUCAAAAUUCAUGUGCAUAAUCACUAUUUGGGUGUUAAUUACUUCAAAUUUUACUGAAAAUCAAGCAGCUAUUUGGAUCAUAGCUUAUAACAAUAUACUCAAUAUCUAUGCAGUUAUUCUGCCAUUUGUAAUACUUUUGAAAAAUAGGAAAAUUCGGGAGAAGCUCAUUCAUGCAAAAGCUCAAUCGUUAGAUGUACGAAAGACUAUUGAUGGCAGAGAAAUACCACGCAAACAUGAUUAUUUUGAAUAUUUGAAACAGAAUUGGAAAUAGUAACAACUAGAAAGUAAUAUGCCCACCAUUUUCUUGUCUGUGCAGUAUGGAUUGGCUAUAUAUUUUCAAUUUCUUUGAGUUUGUUAUCACAACUAUUGCACUGGGCUCUAGCACUUAUUUUGUGUAUAUUAUUGCCAAUAGUACGAUAGUGCAACCUACUAGCAGGCCGUUCCUCCUGCUCUUCAGUAUUUCAUUAUUUUUUCUUGCACUAACACACGGGUUUCAAAUUUUUGAGUUAUUGAUUGGUGCAGAUGCUGAAAAUGCGAUAGAUUACACAUCAUCGAUGAGAUUAUACGUAUGGAGCCUACUACAUGAAUUUGCAUUUGCUCUUCAUUCAUUUUCAAUUCAAAUGUUUUCUUUGGAACGAUAUAUCACGGCGAAACAAACAAUUACUCAAUCUGUUAGAAAUCAGGUAUUGUCCAUUACAUUAGGUGUCAUUAUCUCCAUUUUAUCAAUGUGCUAUGCUCAAAUUAUUCACUUGGUGGAUUUCCACGUGAUCGCCAUCACAAUAAUGAACCUGGUUGACAUGUCUGCAUUAGUGAUUUUAAUUAUCUCAUCACAAUAUUCCAUUCAAAAUUAUAGAAAAACCGCUGGAAUUGCGUCCCUCGAAAAAAGAUUUCAGAUUUCUGAUGUUUACAUCUGGACACAAGCAAUAAUUCCAGUAGCUUGUAUUGCAUUUUUGAUACAUUUUACUUUUGUUAUUGUGGUUUGGCUUUUGUCAACUCUUGAAAACAGUAGAUACUAUCAGAUGACUUUUUCACAUUAUUUUGAAAAUAUCACAAGUGUUUUCACUAUCUGUGUCCCAUUUUUAGUUGUCUAUAAGCACAAAAGAAUAAAGAAAACGAAACUAUUAAAUCGAAGCCGAAUCGGUCCACAAAAUCAAGUUAGAACUCUUGAUGGAAAAACAAUUCAAAUGAGAGAAACUAUUCAAGAUCAUUUUAAUUUUUUAAAGAAUACUUGGAAAUAAAU